GUACACACCGCCCGUCGCUACUACCGAUUGAAUGGCUCGGUGAGGCCUUCGGACUGGCCCAGGGAGGUCGGCAACGACCACCCAGGGCCGGAAAGUUGGUCAAACCCGGUCAUUUAGAGGAAGUAAAAGUCGUAACAAGGUCUCCGUAGGUGAACCUGCAGAAGGAUCA
rnacentral:rRNA from 1 species